GCCGCUUGUUUGCGCAGUAGGCAGCGCGUCAGUCUCAUAAUCUGAAGGUCGUGAGUUCGAUCCUCACACGAGGCA
rnacentral:tRNA from 1 species